rnacentral:rRNA from 1 species
CAAUAGCAUAUACUAAAGUUGUUGCAGUUAAAACGCUCGUAGUUGAAAUUGUGGCAGUUGGUGCCUGGCGACGAAAGUUUGUUGGGUAAAAACUGUCAUUUCCUCGAGAUAUUUUUCGGGGACUGUUACUUUGAGGAAAUCAGAGUGCUCAAAGCAGGCUGUGUCGUGAAUGUUACAGCAUGGUAUAACACUAUAAGACUAAUAUAUGUUGGGACAAGAUAUGUUAGUAAUGAUUAAUAGGAACGGUCGAGGGCAUCCGUAUUUAUUUGUCAGAGGUGAAAUUCUUAGACCAAAUAAAGACGAACAAGUGCGAAAGCAUUUGCCAAGGACGUUUUCAUUG